rnacentral:rRNA from 1 species
GUGCCAGCAGCCGCGGUAAGACGAACCGUGCGAACGUUGUUCGGAAUCACUGGGCAUAAAGGGCGCGUAGGCGGCUUAUCAAGUCAGGGGUGAAAUCCGGCAGCUCAACUGUCGAAGUGCCUUUGAUACUGAUGAGCUCGAGGGAGGUAGGGGUCUGUGGAACUUCCGGUGGAGCGGUGAAAUGCGUUGAUAUCGGAAGGAACGCCGGUGGCGAAAGCGACGGACUGGACCUCUUCUGACGCUGAGGCGCGAAAGCCAGGGGAGCAAACGGGAUUAGAAACCCUAGUAGUCC